rnacentral:rRNA from 1 species
UACGAAGGGGGCUAGCGUUGCUCGGAAUCACUGGGCGUAAAGCGCACGUAGGCGGCUUUAUAAGUCGGGGGUGAAAGCCUGUGGCUCAACCACAGAAUUGCCUUCGAUACUGUAGAGCUUGAGACCGGAAGAGGUAAGUGGAACUGCGAGUGUAGAGGUGAAAUUCGUAGAUAUUCGCAAGAACACCAGUGGCGAAGGCGGCUCACUGGCCCGUAACUGACGCUGAGGCACGAAAGCGUGGGGAGCAAACAGG